AUGUCUCUCCUUCUUUACUUUAUCGUUGAAAUUUUCAAUAUUUAUUUUAAGAUAAUCAAUACUUUGUUUUGCAUUCGUAAUCUUGCGUAUAAUAAUCAUCCGAUAAUAUCUUUUUAUAACUCGCUUUCAAAUUGUAAUCUACAUUAUUCUUCAUGUUAUUGUAUUUAUUUAGUGAUGACAUAUUAUUACGAUUUGAACAACAUGUUGAUUUUUGAAUCUUUGAUGAUUUUUGCAAUUUUUAUAGUUUUUAUACUGAAGACAUAUUUUAUGCUUGAUCUUUUAACUUUUUAG